CCUACGGGGGGCAGCAGUGGGGAAUAUUGGGCAAUGGAGGAAACUCUGACCCAGCAACGCCGCGUGAAUGAUGAAGGUCUUCGGAUUGUAAAGCUCUUUUUUAAGGGAAGUAGAAAGUGACGGUACCUUAGGAAUAAGUCUCGGCUAACUACGUGCCAGCAGCCGCGGGAAUACGGAGGGGGCAAGCGUUAUCCGGAUUUACUGGGUGUAAAGGGAGCGUAGACGGUGCGGCAAGUCUGGUGUGAAAUGCCGCAGCUUAACUGCGGAACUGCUUUGGAAACUGGCGAACUAGAGUGCGGGAGGGGUAAGCGGAAUUCCUAGUGUAGCGGUGAAAUGCGUAGAUAUUAGGAGGAACACCGGUGGCGAAGGCGGCUUACUGGACCGUAACUGACGUUGAGGCUCGAAAGCGUGGGGAGCAAACAGGAUUAGAUACCCGAGUAGUC
rnacentral:rRNA from 1 species